rnacentral:piRNA from 1 species
UGUGCCUGUGAGAGACAUGAGCUCCCU